rfam:Paenibacillus sp. TCA20 DNA, contig: PspTCA2nb04.
ACAAUUUACUAGGGGAGCCCGAAAUGCCGGGCUGAGAUGGCACUGCAAGGUGCCGGACUCUUUGCACCUGAUCUGGAUCAUACCAGCGUAGGGAAGUAAUUGGCGAUAAAA